rnacentral:rRNA from 1 species
UACGGGGGGGGCAAGCGUUGUUCGGAAUUACUGGGCGUAAAGGGCUCGUAGGCGGCCAACUAAGUCAUACGUGAAAUCCCUCGGCUUAACCGGGGAACUGCGUCUGAUACUGGAUGGCUUGAGUUCGGGAGAGGGAUGCGGAAUUCCAGGUGUAGCGGUGAAAUGCGUAGAUAUCUGGAGGAACACCGGUGGCGAAGGCGGCGAUCCUGGACCGAUACUGCGCGAGGAGCGAAGCCAG